rnacentral:rRNA from 1 species
AUGGCCACCGGGCGGAAUAGCACCAUCCAGGGGCUGAGCCACGUGUGGGGGCGCGGCAGAUGUCGGGGAGGAGCCGCCAAUGUCGCCGGAGCCGAGAGGAGGUUGCUUGGUCUGGGGGAGAAGGGGCGCCAGUGGGUGGAUGGAUAUAAAGGGAGGAGGAGAAGAGGAGGUGGCGGCGGCGAUGGAUCCGAUGGGAAGAGGAGACGGGGGAGAAGGGGCGGUAGCGGGUGGAUGGAUCUGAAGGGAGGAGGAGAUGACGAGGUGGCGGCGGUGAUGGAUCUGAUGGGAGGAGGAGACAGGGGAGAAGGGGCAGCUGCUGGGUUGAUCUGCCGCGCGCCGGCGUUGGGGU